rnacentral:rRNA from 1 species
UACGAAGGGGCUAGCGUUGCUCGGAAUUACUGGGCGUAAAGCGUGCGCAGGCGGCUUGCAAGACAGAUGUGAAAUCCCCGGGCUCAACCUGGGAACUGCAUUGUGACUGCAUGGCUGGAGUGCGGGCAGAGGGGAUGGAAUUCCGCGUGUAGCAGUGAAAUGCGUAGAUAUGCGGAGGAACAGCCGAUGGCGGAAGGACAAUCCCCUGGGCCUGCACUGACGCUCAUGCACGAAGCGUGG